UGAUGUGAGGGCGAUCUGGCUGCGACAUUUGUCACCCCACUGAUCGCCAGGGUUGAUUCGCCUGAUCUGGCUGGCUAGGCGGGUGUCCCCUUCCUCCCUCACUGCUCCAUGUGCGUCCCUCCCGAAGCUGCGUGCUCGGUGGAAGAGGACGGCCUUCCCCGAAUAGAGACGGACCGGUCUUCGGUCGAGGGUAUACGAGUAAUGGCGCUCCCCUGCUAGAACCUCCAAACAAGCUCUCUCAAGAAUUUUCCUAUCAUGUGAAAAAGCCUGUGUGCAUUUUAUUUUCUUUUUGGGUCACACCCGGUGAUGUGCAGAGGCUA
rnacentral:snRNA from 1 species